UGGGGAAUUUUGGACAAUGGGCGAAAGCCUGAUCCAGCAAUGCCGCGUGUGUGAAGAAGGCCUUCGGGUUGUAAAGCACUUUUGUCCGGAAAGAAAUCCUUGGCUCUAAUACAGUCGGGGGAUGACGGUACCGGAAGAAUAAGCACCGGCUAACUACGUGCCAGCAGCCGCGGUAAUACGUAGGGUGCAAGCGUUAAUCGGAAUUACUGGGCGUAAAGCGUGCGCAGGCGGUUUGCUAAGACCGAUGUGAAAUCCCCGGGCUAACCUGGGAACUGCAUUGGUGACUGGCAGGCUAGAGUAUGGCAGAGGGGGGUAGAAUUCCACGUGUAGCAGUGAAAUGCGUAGAGAUGUGGAGGAAUACCGAUGGCGAAGGCAGCCCCCUGGGCCAAUACUGACGCUCAUGCACGAAAGCGUGGGGAGCAAACAGGAUUAGAUACCCUGGUAGUCCACGCCCUAAACGAUGUCAACUAGUUNUUGGGGAUUCAUUUCCUAGUAACGUAGCUAACGCGUGAAGUUGACCGCCUGGGGAGUACGGUCGCAAGAUUAAAACUCAAAGGAAUUGACGGGGUC
rnacentral:rRNA from 1 species